rnacentral:lncRNA from 1 species
UCUUUGACCCUAGUCUUGGACUAGUGGUUUGUGAUCUCACUGUUGAGUUGUGUUUCAGGUUAAUAGCACAAAUGGCCUAUGCUUGAUGAUGUGCUCCCAUUGGAAUUGACUUGUGACUUGUGUAUAGCUAAUUUUGACUUUGUUUUGCAGGGAUUGAUAUUUGAGUUUGAGUUGGCUUGCACUUUGGUGCAUUGGAUUGUGUU